rnacentral:rRNA from 1 species
UGCUAGACGAGUUUGAUCAUGGCUCAGAACGAACGCUGGCGGCGCGCCUAACACAUGCAAGUCGAACGAGAAUCCGGGGCAACCCGGUAGUAAAGUGGCAAACGGGUGAGGAAUACAUGGGUAACCUACCCUUGAGAAGGGAAUAACCCGCCGAAAGGUGAGCUGAUACCCUAUACGCUAUCUUUUUUUCGAAAAGGAUAGGAAAGCCGGGUCGAGGACCUGGUACUCAAGGAGGGGCUCAUGUCCUAUCAGCUUGUUGGUGGGGUAACGGCCUACCAAGGCUACGACGGGUAGCUGGUCUGAGAGGAUGAUCAGCCACACUGGCACUGAGAUACGGGCCAGACUCCUACGGGAGGCAGCAGUGAGGAAUAUUGCGCAAUGGGCGAAAGCCUGACGCAGCGGCGCCGCGUGGGGGAUGAAGGUUUUCGGAUUGUAAACCCCUUUCAUGAGGAAAGAUAAAGUGGGUAACCACUUAGACGGUACCUCAAGAAGAAGCCACGGCUAACUUCGUG